GAUAAACGCUGGCGGCGUGCCUAAUACAUGCAAGUCGAUCGAUGGAUGCCCAGCUUGCUGGGAGGAAAUAGAGGCGAACGGGUGAGUAAUACGUAAGCAACCUGCCACGAAGACCGGGAUAAUCCCUGGAAACGGGGACUAAGACCGGAUAGGUAACAGAACCGCAUGAUUCUGUUAUUAAGGUUAAAAAACACUGGUGGAUGGGCUUACGGUGCAUUAGCUGGUUGGUGAGGUAACGGCCCACCAAGGCGAUGAUGCAUAGCUGGUCUGAGAGGAUGAACAGCCACAUUGGGACUGAGACACGGCCCAGACUCCUACGGGAGGCAGCAGUAGGGAAUUUUCGGCAAUGGGGGAAACCCUGACCGAGCAACGCCGCGUGAGUGAAGAAGGUCUUCGGAUUGUAAAGCUCUGUUGUAAGGGAAGAAAUGUACUGUGAGAAACAGUACUUGACGGUACCUUACCAGAAAGCUACGGCUAACUACGUG
rnacentral:rRNA from 1 species